UACGGGGGGUGCGAGCGUUGUCCGGAAUCACUGGGUUUAAAGGGUGCGUAGGUGGGUAGGUAAGUCAGUGGUGAAAUCUUCGAGCUUAACUCGGAAACUGCCAUUGAUACUAUUUAUCUUGAAUACUCUGGAGGUAAGCGGAAUAUGUCAUGUAGCGGUGAAAUGCUUAGAUAUGACAUAGAACACCAAUUGCGAAGGCAGCUUACUACAUAGUUAUUGACACUGAGGCACGAAAGCGUGGGGAUCAAACAGG
rnacentral:rRNA from 1 species